GACGAACGCUGGCGGCGUGCCUAAUACAUGCAAGUCGAGCGAAUCAAUAGGAGCUUGCUCCUGUUGGUUAGCGGCGGACGGGUGAGUAACACGUGGGCAACCUGCCUGUAAGACUGGGAUAACACCGGGAAACCGGUGCUAAUACCGGAUAAUCCUUUUCCUCUCAUGAGGAAAAGCUGAAAGUCGGUUUCGGCUGACACUUACAGAUGGGCCCGCGGCGCAUUAGCUAGUUGGUGAGGUAAUGGCUCACCAAGGCGACGAUGCGUAGCCGACCUGAGAGGGUGAUCGGCCACACUGGGACUGAGACACGGCCCAGACUCCUACGGGGGGCAGCAGUAGGGAAUCUUCCACAAUGGACGAAAGUCUGAUGGAGCAACGCCGCGUGAGCGAUGAAGGCCUUCGGGUCGUAAAGCUCUGUUGUUAGGGAAGAACAAGUACCGGAGUAACUGCCGGUACCUUGACGGUACCUAACCAGAAAGCCACGGCUAACUACGUGCCAGCAGCCGCGGUAA
rnacentral:rRNA from 1 species